UACCGAAAGGGGGGUCAGAUGUCGCCCUGUAAAUCUGCUGGUGGACCCUGAUCUCUCUGGAUGCAUCUGCGUGUCAGCCGGCGACCUUUCCGGAAGCACAUCUGCUCCGGAUCCUCGUAAGCCUGCACCUGUCUUUAACCUAAAACAUUCUUGGUUUCAAACCACAGGACAGAUGAUGUUGCUCUUGCUAGUCACAUGUCUCUGUCUGUUUUCUCAGCAGCACUCUCUAACUCGACCGUGUGGAUCUGGGUUCCCUUUGGGUGCAACAUCCAGGGGACCACCCAUCACUCGUGGUUCCAGCCAGUUCAGUCUGGUGGCGCUGUGACUUCUUCUAGUGAGCGGGCUCUCCAGAGCCUCAAUAUUCCGGUGUAUCCUUUCGUUCCUGUUCAACAAACAUAGAAGAUACCAGCAGGGGGCAGUAGGACUCCUCAUUAUCUGAGGGCUUCUCCUCCUGACCUACAGUUUGCUCCAAAUCCUGGUCACACAACAGUCACCUCUGGUAAACUGAUUAAUAACCUUUUGCAGGAAAAAUCAGGUCCUGACCUACCAACUAAACCACACUCUCCGGUCGUGUCUCUCAUUAACAUCUCCAAAGAUAUCGCGUCAACCAACAUAGCUGACCACCAACUCGAAUCGUGCCAGAAGGGGGGUGAACUUCCAUCCGCUCCCGCUGGGUUCUCUGAUUUCGGAUCACUGGAGUCCUGUUCUUCACCAUUGGUCUUCGCUGCCUGAGGGACCUCCAUCCAUGGGGGACUUCGCCAUCUGAGGGUCCUCUACGCCUGUUCCUGCCUGCCUGGUGUUCCUGUCGCAUGGAGCUUUGCUUCGGUCGUGGUUCGAGACGUCCUGAGUGCCCUGCGCUGAGAGGUCGCCUGGGGGCCAUCCGGGAACUGCCGCUGACGGCUGGUCGUCUGUCUACAUCCUCGUGCUCGGCUCUGUGUGGCCUUUAGGCAUUACUACUUAUGAUAAUCAACUGCUGUUGAAAUAGCCAUCUUCUCGAGGAUUACUUUACAAUGAUCUGCAAUUCUGACUUAACCAACUUCUCAGGAUAUGCUCCUGUCUUCCCUGGGGGAGGAAACGCUUACCUCUCUCCAGCCUUCACCUGGACUGCAACAGCUUCUUCAGAAAGAGAGUCCCUUCACGUCUUUGGUUGCCAACGACAGGUGGUUUUCUGUGGCCACCUGCCAUUGACAAAGGGGGGUCUCUAGCAUCACGGAAGGUCCUCUAAUUUGUGGCAAAGGUCACAUUUACCCAGCUGGGUCAAGCUGUAACUUUCAAGUCCACAGAUUAACCCAGGAGUCAUGAUGUCUGGAAGAACAUAUCACCAUAUCUGCCGCUGUUCCGUCCCAGAAGAAGGACACUCCAAGCUCACGAUAAUAAUUAAAUAAUAAUAAUAAUAAACUAUUUGAUUUUAUUACUGUUUAUUAUAACCAUCAUAAAUGAUCACUUGGUUCAGUAUAAAGGUAUUUUAAUGACAUGAAAUGAAUUAUUAUGCUUUGGGUACAAUAAUGAUUAAUUAUGAUUAUGCUUGAUGACAGUAAUGUGUUCAACAAAGAAGGUCCCUUUCACCUUAUCCAUCUAACACAGAGUUCAUCCAGAUAAACAAUAACUGCAACACAUGUUUUUGAUGCAUGAUCAAAGCUUUCUUGCUGAGAGAGUGGGAGUGUUCUGAGAGCUUCGUAAACUAACCAUCACCAGCUUCAAGUCAGUUUGUGAACCCACCACCAUCACUGAGGAAGGGAACGGCCGUCCCUAACCUCCACCUGCUGUUCUGUCACGCCGACAAGAAUAGCUAAGAAUAAACAAAACGGUAACCAGCUAACGAAAAAGUCCUUACAGAGUUAUUGAUUUCUGAGUUAAGACGAGAAACUCCUUCAGAGUUACGGACUUUGAGACGCCAAUCAGUCGUGUGACCGACGGAGACAACCCAGGACUGAUUUGGUCGCAUCGAGGUCCUUCUGCCAUCCUCGUGCCCGGAGGAAAUCAUCUCCACUUGACAUCUCGGAUCCGAAAGGGGGUCUCCGGAAACUGGGAGAGGUAGACACUAUGACAGAUGACGUUUGAUGCUGUUUCCUCUAAGUAAACAACUCAGGUAGCGCAAAACAUCAUUUUCAGCUCCGAACGCUUUCCUCUCUCUGAAAGAAAUCUUCUUGAAAAUUCCAUUCACGCAUCCAAACUCCUAUUUCCAAUUUAGCUUUCAUCCAGCCACAGGUUUGCCUUUUAAACAAGUUUAAUAUCAAAGCUGUUAAAAAUUUUCAUUAAAUUGUCAUCCAUGAAUUGUCGUUCAAAUCGUAACGUUUAAAAUUGUUAGUAAUAA